rnacentral:rRNA from 1 species
UACGGGGGGGGCAAGCGUUGUUCGGAAUUACUGGGCGUAAAGGGCUCGUAGGCGGCCAACUAAGUCAGACGUGAAAUCCCUCGGCUUAACCGAGGAACUGCCUGUCAGACUGUAAGGCUUGAGACCGGGAGAGGUGAGUGGAAUUCCCAGUGUAGCGGUGAAAUGCGUAGAUAUUGGGAGGAACACCAGUGGCGAAGGCGGCUCACUGGACCGGUACUGACGCUGAGGCGCGAAAGCGUGGGGAGCAAACAGG